rnacentral:rRNA from 1 species
GAUGAACGCUGGCGGCGUGCCUAAUACAUGCAAGUCGAGCGAACAGACGAGUAUCUUGCUCCUCUGACGUUAACGGCGGACGGGUGAGUAACACGUGGUUACCCUACCUUUAAGACUGGGAUAACUUCGGGAAACCGGAGCUAAUACCGGAUAAUAUCUUUAACCGCAUGGUUCAAUAGUUAAAGACGGUUUUGCUGUCACUUAUAGAUGUAUCCUCGCUGCAUUAGCUAGUUGGUAAGGUAACGGCUUACCAAGGCAACGAUGGGUAGCCGACCUGAGAGGGGGAACGGCCGCACUGGAACUGAGAGACGAUCCAGACACCUAGGGAAGGCAGCAGUAGGGAAUCUUCGGCAAUGGGCGAAAGCCUGACGGAGCAACGCCGCGUGGGUGAUGAAGGUCUUCGGAUCGUAAGACUCUGUUAUUAGGGAAGAACAAAUGUGUAAGUAACUAUGCACGUCUUGACGGUACCUAAACAGAAAGCCACGGCUAACUACGUG